rnacentral:tRNA from 1 species
UGUGGCUUAGUGGUAGAGUGCUUGCCUAGCAUGCAUGAAACCCGAGGUUCAAUUCCUCAGUA